GUGUCAGCAGCCGCGGUAAUACCGGCAGCUCGAGUGAUGACCGAUUUUAUUGGGCCUAAAGCGUCCGUAGCUGGCCAGGCAAGUCCGUUGGGAAAUCCACCUGCCCAACAGGUGGGCGUCCAGCGGAAACUGCUUGGCUUGGGACCGGAAGAUCCAAGGGGUACGUCCGGGGUAGGAGUGAAAUCCUGUAAUCCUGGACGGACCGCCGAUGGCGAAAGCACCUUGGAAGGACGGAUCCGACAGUGAGGGACGAAAGCUAGGGUCUCGAACCGGAUUAGAAACCCCCGUAGUCC
rnacentral:rRNA from 1 species